UACAGAGGUGGCAAGCGUUGUUCGGAAUUACUGGGCGUAAAGGGCGCGUAGGCGGCCUUCUAAGUCAGACGUGAAAUCCCCCGGCUUAACCUGGGAAUGCGUCUGAUACUGGGAGGCUAGAGUAUGGGAGAGGGAUGUAGAAUUCCAGGUGUAGCGGUGAAAUGCGUAGAUAUCUGGAGGAAUACCGGUGGCGAAGGCGGCAUCCUGGACCAUUACUGACGCUGAGGCGCGAAAAGCUAGGGGAGCAA
rnacentral:rRNA from 1 species